UGAGAAAGUGAGUCAUUUAGAGAAACACAGCCUGCAGUACUCAGCUCUCACCCUGCUUCCAGGGGAGGGGAGAGCCCUGCAGGUGGGCUUGGAAGGGAGGGAGAGCAGGAGAAGCAUUUUGCUUCUCCCUGAGGAUUUUUAAUCUGACCUUGGAAAAGUCACGUAGCCUCGUUAGGAUUUAGGCCAUGAACUGGGAAUAGAGGCCUGGCCUUGCACAGAAGGGUGUUUUUUUAUAGGAUGACACUAUAAGAGCUGUGAAACUGUUGGCUUCUGUGCUAACGGGGUCUUUCCAGGAGCCUUGGGCAGGGAGGGUGAUGAAAGCACAGAUGUAAUAACUGGCUGGAAAUAUAUAAAAGGUGGAUGCAAAGACAGAGAGAGGAUGCCAUUCCCCAUGGAUAGGGGAUAGGAAAAGAAGUACUAUCCUGAAAUUACAGCAAGGAAAGAGAUGGGGAUAAUUAUUAUGAAAAAUCUUCUGGAAGUGCAGUGCUGAAUGCUGGAAUGGAUUGUCUGGGGAGAGGGAGGACUCCUCAGCCUUGGGAUUUUAACCCUGGUCAGAUGCACAUCUGCUUGGGGAUGUCCAGGUGGGGCUGCUUCAGUCUGGUUUUCUUCUGGCUGCACACAGAGAGGAGCUGACUGCACCCCUGAACAGGAUGGCUUUUAGCAGGUCCCUCUAUGACUAAUAGUUUCAGCACAUCCGAGUGCAAAGAAGACAAAUAUUUAACUUGCCUAAUUAUUUGCUUCACUCAGUCUGUCCUAGUGUUCUUUGAUAUUUUUCCUUCUCCCAGUGGCAUGGUACCUUGUGGCUCGAGGUGAGUUUGAUGAACAAGAUUGAACUGGAAUCUUUGAGUAGGAAUCCUCCUAAGCCCCAACACUGGAAACCUGGUGAAGAGUGAAGUGGGAAAUACAUACCUGUGAGCUCCCAGGCUCCUGUGCCUGGCGGACACUGCAACAGGAUCCAGCAUAAGUGAGAUAUCUCCUGUCUGGUUGAAAUUGAUCUAAAUCUGCACUACAGCUGAAGGUCUAAACCCACUCCAUUAUUUUACAUUCAUCCCCACUUCAGCAUGACUUCCUGCCAUCGAACAAACCUUACAGAAACAAUAGAAUGGUAUGGCUUGGGUCUGCAAGACAGCUGAAUGCAGGGGGAGGCAGUGAUGUUUACUGAAGGUAGCUGGUAUCUCUUAGCACAAGUCCAGUGCUCUGCAGCUUGGGACUAAGAGCUGCUGCUUGUUCCUGAGCCAACAGAUUCUGACUAGCUUCUCUUGCUGCUAAAGAGCAGCAUUUUGCUGCAUAAGCCAUCAUGUGAGCUUUACAGUCAUGGUAAUUUCUCCAUGGCUAACCCUCAGUGAGGCAUGCGGUCAUGUUAUGCUUCAAACAUAAGCUGAUUUUGCUUUGGAAGUAAGAUACCACAUUUCCUGGCACCCACACUGAGCAUUCUCUCCUCUCACACACAUGCAGCCAGUGUUCGGCUUAGAAUCCUCUAUGCUUAGAAUAGUGAUAGCCCAUUUCUCCUCCAUCCACCCCCCCCCCAGAUUUGUUCACCGUGGGUGAUCAGCCAUUUCCAGCUUCUUCAGAGACAAAACCUUUCUUUGCUUUAAUCUUUGAGGGCUGCAGAAGUGACAAAGCAAUGAAAGAUGGGAAUGAAUUUCUCUGCCAGCCUUCAUGCAAUUACUAAGUACUACAUUCAGAAGCUUUAGUUUGACAAUAUACGAAUAAAGGCAGAAACAGCAUUUCACUGCAGAUUAUCUAUCCCACCUGGGUCAGGGCAGGAUGUCAUGAUGCACAGUGCCAAAAAGAGCAUGGCCUGACUUCGAGCCAGGCUGAAGUUUCAGAGUUGGCAGCUGAAAUCUUGUUUCAUCACAGGUGGGGUGAUAAACCAUUCCAUCUAUGAUUCUGGAGAGAAUAUUUGUUUGCAUUGCCUGAGCAGGUAACAUUUGCAGAACAGGGGCCCCUUUUACAGUGGAGGACAAAGACUAGCAAGGUGACUGCUUCAGGAAGCUGCUGUUGAAGGACCAUUUUGCAGUUAUAGGCUGAUUUGGACUGGUAUUUGACUGAGAAGGCAGGAGAAUGUUGGAAAGCAGGGACACAUCUUUGAUGCUUAUGCGGGAAUGAAGGGAUCCCUGUGUUGUAUCCAUUACAGUGUAUGUAUAAUAGUGGUGGCCAUUCUUACUCAGCUCUAUAGGAGCAGUUUUCUUCUGGCUAAUUCACCAGCUGUGUGCUAACAGCAGCUUCUGGGGCUCACAUGAACAAUGGUGCAUAGUGCACAUAUUCCAUAGGAUAAAAAGUAAUAAUAAUACUGCUUUGUCUCAGGCAUAACUAGUAAUUCGACCAUGCUUUUCUUCCACAUCAUAGUGCUAUACAGCACUACUGAACACCAUACUAAAAGCUAAAACAAUGUUCUUUAUGGGAAGCUUGUAGAGGUGUCCCUGCCUAUAGCAGGGGGUUGAAACUAUAUGAUCUUAAAGGUCCCUUCCAACCCAAAUCAGUCUAUGAUUCUAAGAUAAAUGCUUAAAGGCAUCCCCUGGCCAGCCAUCAUCCUGAGUCAAUAUUGAAAGACAGACGUAAUUCAUUGAAAUACUGUUAAUUAAUUAGAGUGUGGCCUGGACCACAACAGCGUGGGUUCUGAACACACAGGUUUACUUCUGUUUGGUUACUGAAGGAUUUGUGAAAAGGCUAAAGACAAGUUUAGAAGAUGGCUCAAGAGGAAAGCUGCUCGCUGGUGUGAAAGCAUUAAUUAUUGAGACAAAUUUAGCUGGUUGGAACACUGCAUAAAUCAGCACACGGCCUGAAACUUUUAUGGAGAUAAUUGCAUGCGCCUUUGCAGAUGUUGAAUUUCUAAGCACCAGAGCUUUGGAGCUGGCAAAUACGAAGGCAGACGUAAAUGGACCCGGCUGCUUUCAGGUUCCUGCUCAGGCAGACAGCCGGAAGAGAUUUAAUUUCUCCUGCAAAAAGUGAAACUAACUGAGUGUCACUGUUGAAAUUCCAUACACUUCCCAUUUAUUACUUCUAUGUAAAGAUGUAUUGUAGAUAGUCAUAGAACCAGAACAGACAAGUUUACACUAACUCAGGCUACAUGACAAGCCUGCCAAAAACUUGAAAUCAUUGUGGGGUAUCUGAUAACACAUUACUAACACUGCAAAGUGGCUGAAUGUCCCAUCAUCUUUCCUUCCUCACCUCUCUCAGAAUCUAAGUAGAGCAGGAAGCUUUCAGAGCUGCUUCAAGGUGUUAUAGAUGAAAUCUACCACUUUUAUAAAGACUUUUUUUUUUUCCUUUUUUUUUCUUUUGUGGUGGACUUCCUUGCAAAAUAACAGGCAGUGGUAACAAAGUGAUGGUUGAUGUAUGGUCUGACUCUGAAAUGGAAGAUGUAGCAAAAUGCCUGACGAGAAAGGCUCAUCCUUUUGUACUGGUGUGAAGAUGACAUCAAGUAAUGCUGUAUGUGUGCUUACCCCCAACCUGAUGCAGGAAAUCAAGCACUGGGAUCAACUUACCAUGACUGAUUGCUAUCCCAUUUAAGGUUUCCUUUGCUGUCCAAAUUCCUUAACCAAUAUUGCUUCAGCUGCUUAAGGAAUAGAAACAUGAACGUUUGGUCUCAAUUCAGCAAAGUACUUUAGCAUUCAUCUAACACCAAGCACACAGGAAAGCUGAUUUUCAGGGGUCAUGACCAAAAAGCCUCACAAAUAGGAGAAGUCGAUAGUUUUUAAGUCAGAAAGAAGAAAUAAGAAAAUUCCUGUGAUUUCUGCUAAAGAGGUACCCACAUAACCCCAUAACCCAUGGGGGAAUAUGCUCACCUGGCAGCGGACGUGGGUGAGGCUGCCUCAGCCAGUGGAGCCCCUUAGCAAGCAGCAAGUAAGCAGCUAAGGCUUUGGUUGAGGUAGUGCUCAAUUACAUCGAGAUUGCCUGGGGAGGACAGGGAGUCUGCGACUGGGGGUCCUCGAGGGUGACCUCAGGAACAGUGCACUCAAGCUGAUCCUUUGUGAGAGCAGGAUGAUGGAGCAGGUAACUGUCAGAGGUCCCUUCACAGGGAUUUCAUGGUCCCAACAGAGUUGUAAUAACAUGAAUAAAGGGUCAGACAUUUUACACCUCAUUUGUGUGCCCUGUAAUGGAAGAGUGUUAGGUAACUGUUACAUCAGUUGUUAUUGAUAAAACACCAUCUAUCACGUAAUAUUUUAAUUUGUAGGUAUGGAUUUCACCAUGAGAUAGAACCCACUAGAUUCUAAAUCACUGUUGAUGUUUUUUCAAGCACGUUUUCAUUCUUAUUUGUUCUUAAGCUGAACAAUCUGAUCCUUAGGAUAUGAUUGUAAAACGCAGUUUCCAAUGACCGUAAAUUCUAUGAAAAACACAGAUCUGAUAAAACAGCUUUUAUUUCCUCGUUGGACUGACAGCAUGUUCCCUCACACUAGCUGAUAUUUUCAGAUUGAUUGCUAGGAGCAAGUUAUACAUUAAAGGAAGAAAGAAGAAAGAAAAAAAAAACCCAGAGAGACUGAUACCACACGUCAUGUCACUGAUACACAAGGUGGCAUUGCCAGGAUAGACUGACUGAGCAAAUCACCAAUUUAAUUUGGAAUUAAAUGCACUGAGGUGGAUAUUUUUUACAAUUAGUGAUGAUGUGGCUCCAGAAGUAAUUUAUUCCUUCUUGCUGGGAUAGCUGAUGAAUUAUGUGUUUGUGAUGCAUGCUGGCAGGGUGUAGUCAUACUUUUCAGGAACAGAUGAAUGGCUGAGAAAACCCUCCCUGCUAUGCAGUUAUUAGUCAGCUUGCAUUCACAUGGGAAAUAGGUCUGAGAAGUGACUACAGCUUUGCUGCAUGGAGAGAGCUUGAAAGCCAGCUGCUGGUUGCUAAAGAAGCAAAACUCCCUAAAACUUUCCUCACCAUCUUUUGGGAACAUUGUGCUACCAGGAUAAAAUUUGUCCUGUAUGGGAAGCAGUGAGUUCACUCUUAACCCUGGGGAGAGGUAGUGCAGCCACAAAGAGUGGCUUCUCCUUUCCCGUCAUCCUGCAUGGAUCUUGCACCCAUGUAGGCUGUGCCCAGAAAACCUGUUGAGUCUUUUUGGAAGGCAUAAAGGGACACGAAGGGCAGAAAAUUUGUCUCUGAGGAUGAGGAGGAUGCCUCAGCUCAGCUUGCUUGGAGAACUAUUGUGAGCAUUAUCACCAGCAAACACAUGGAAUUUAUCUCAGUUCCAUGCCUGCCAUCUUCCAAGUUAUUUAGGAACACAUCUUGAGGGAUAGGUGAGGUAAUUUGGUGAGUCAGAGAAAGGUUAUGAUUGAGUGGCUGCAGUGUUUGAACAGAAAGCAUCACUGUCUGGGACUGGUCAGCUUCCUUUUUUCCUCAGAAUAGCAUCUGAGAGCUGAAUGAACCUCCUCACUUCUGGUGGGCUGACCCUGGGAGGAAGUGGUAGAGAAAUCAGCUGGGAGUAACCAGCUAUUCAAAACAGAUCAAAAUCCUAACCAAAAAACUUCCUGAAAGGGUUACAGGGGAGAGGAUGUGGAAACACCCAGGACAUUCAGAACCUGCUAGCCAGCAAACUUUUGAAAAGAAACAGCAAAGCAAUGAGGCCUCUCCUCCACUAAUCGAGAGACAUAAAGAGUUGAAAUACCCCCUGGAACUGAUGGAAAAUCAGGUCAGAAACAGAAAUAUUCAUGCAUUCACUCUACUGGAGGGUAAAGAAUUUCCAAACCUGAUUUCUUUUGUGGAAACCUGGCUUCCUAAGGCUUGGAACAAGAUGUAGAGAAUAUCCCACUGCAUGUGGUGUGCUGGUUCAGGAUCCCUGCCAGGGCCAUCACUCCCAAUAACAAGCAAAACCAAAUUGAGCUGCCAAGUUCCAAAUGUUCAUGGGAAAGGCAGGCUCCAUGACUGCAGUGAGGAAGCACGGGUUCAUUUACUUCCAAUUCAAUCUGACUGUCCUCACUUGUUUUGCCGCUGCCUCAGAUAACGCGGUUUCUUGUACUGACACAGAGCCCAGUGAAAGUACACCCACAAUUUAAGAUAAGAGAUGAAACUUGUGGAAACAAGAAACCUUCUGGGGCACUGUGGGCUGUGAUGCCUCUGCUUGAGAAGUUCAGAAGCAGAUGUGAGAUGUCCUUCUGUGGAGGACAGCCUUCAAGUCUAUGCAAUAUAUGUCCUUUCCCUGACACUAAAUGCUCUCACUUUCCUAUUCUUUUCUUCCAGGGCUUUCUUCUCCCAUGCUUUCCUGCCAAUAUGCUGACUGAUAUAGGCUGUUGUGGGCUAUUGCCCUGGUUCAAGUGUGUGGUUGUGCUUCCAGUCACCGCCAGGAAAUGUCAGUGUGAUUCUGGGGCAGCUCCCAGUUCUGUUCAGCCCCAAAGCUCCCCAAUAGAAUUGUGAUCUUAUGAUUUCAGUGACUUUCUGCAGUGACAACUGUUGGUGGCUUCCAGCUCCUCACUGCCAUUAACCAGCUCAUUGCAAUGCUUUAGGCACUCAGACAGACUCUUUUGAAAUGUUUUUGACGUUUUCUUGAUGUAACGUUGUCUCUUCCUCAGUAUUUUAACUUUUGAUACUAUGUUGAGUACAUGGAAAGAAAAAGAAGAAAAUCUCUCAUAUUUGUCUGGAUGGGUGAGUCUAAGACUAUUUGUAAAACUGUAAAAGAUACUCCAAAAUAUUUGGCUUAAUCAUCUGUAUUUUAAUUUUAAAAUAUUUUAAAAACAAUAUAUAACAAAAAGAAAACAAAGGAUAAAGAUUAAAUAUACUUGUUCAGUUAUUUGCAGGCUUUCUUGUAAAGAUACUCUGUGUGAGGGACCCCUGAGCUGCUAGGCCAGCUGGAGAGGUGUCACUGUUCUGACAGCAUGGAGGUACCCCAGUGCUCAUUAAACCUGAUUGGAUUUGUACUUUAUCAGCCAACUGCAUUCAGAUUUUGCAACAUCAAGAACUGUUUGAGGUCCCCCUCCAACACAAGCCUCUCUUUGUCUUAAUGUCUUCCUCCUGAUGUGAUGAAUCACUCUGUGAAGCUGCUGGCCUCUCUCUAUUGCAUAUGGGGUGCUCAGGCCACCUCAGAGGCUGUGAACUGGGAGGGACGAAUUUAUGAACACAUAUGCACAUGGUCUUCUCUGCCCCAGGAAAUAAAAAAGGGGCUGGCAGCAAACUCUGAGCAGCACUGCUGUCACCAGCACCUGGCAAAACCCUUGUUUUCAGCUCAGAAGCUCACGUACUGCAUGUUCCAAGGUGGCAGGUCCAGGCAGGAGCAGGGAGAGGUCUCACGGCUCCAGUGCACCUAAGGCAGACCAAGGUGUGACUCAGUGAGCAAACACAGAUGAGCAGUAAAGCAUCAGCUGGCCUUGCUGCUAAUCUCUGAUGUGUCUGUUGGCUUCCCAAAGGAUUGAGAAGUGAGGGAAUAACCAGACAAGGCAAAAGAAUGGUGAAAAAUAUUUGCCUCUUUUUGAUGUAAAUAUAUUUCCAGAACAACAUCCCUCACUGAUGACAUUCUUGUAAGAAGGAAAUAAUUAGCAGAAAUAGUAAAGGAACCAAAUUCAUGUAUCACUAAAUAUCAGUAGUAAUGGUAUGAGUAUUUUCGACUAAUACUUCAUAUUCUUUUGCAAAAAUGAGGGGAGUAUGCACUAGGGAAUGGUGCUGCAUCAUCUAAAGAAAUAGCAACUCUUGUGUUUCCCUAAUUCUUCUUAAGUUGUGCCAGGGGAUGUUCAGGUUGGAUACUAGGAAAAAAUCCUUCUCAGAAAGAGUGGUGAUGCAUUGGAACAGGCUGCCCUGGGAGGUGAUGGACUCCCUGUCCCUGGAGGCAUUCAAGGAAAAAGUAGAUGUAGCAAUGAGUGUCAUGGCUUAGUGAUACAGUGGGGAUGGAUGAUCUUUGGACUAGAUAAUCUUAGUGGUCUUUCCAAACUUAAUGAUCCCAUAAUUCUUUCUCUCCGGUGUCACAUCAGUAUCUUGUUAGACCAGCACACAUGAGUGGGAGGCUCUGAAGAAAUCCCACUGAUCUCAUGGCACAACUUCAUAUUUUCCAAGUGAUUCCAGUCCUUGGGAACUGAGGGUGCUUUCUUGAAAAGCAGUUUCUUCCCACUUUAUAGUUUGGGACAUGCUGUAUAAACACUAGUAGAGGCUACAUAGCAUGUUGGUAAAUUCACACAGAACUAGCACUGCGCUCCAGCUUACAUCAGUGUUGCCAUGCAGUAGAAAAUACUUCCUCACCUCCAAAUAGGCACUGCUUCAAAAAUGCAGUCCAUCAGUGUGACUUCAUAUUACCUAAGCUGCUAUUACUGCCCUCUGUGCAAUACUUGCUACCUUAUGUGAAAAGGAAAAGCAGGAAAAUGUAGGAAAAUCUUUUACUGUUUUUUUUUUUUUCUUUAGAUAUUUAGUAUAAUUUUCUAAUGUUUUGUGCAAAAGUUCUGCACAAAAUUGCCUGGCCUCAAGACACUGUGCGUUACAGGUGCUGUAAAUGUUAGAGGGACCUCCUGGGAGCCCCAACUGUUUUCACAGGGAUAAAUGUAGGCAGAACAGUUGUUUGUAAUGAAUAUCAUUGAACAAACUGAAUGUUCAAUUUGUGAAUUGUCCAUGAGAAGAUGGCAAUUUUCUUGAGCUGUUUGGUGAAUCACUUCUGAAAUCUUUCUUCACUGGCAGUUGAAUUCAUAAAAGCAUUCAGAGGAAUAUCAUAUCCUCUCCAAGUUCCUAUAGCCGCUCCAUACCUAUCCUGUGAUGGCUGAGCUGUGGUCAGAAACACAUCAUCUUGGGCCAAACAGUUUUGGGGAACUACUAAUUAUUUGAAAGGUAGAGAUGAAGGUAAACCUUUGACAGGUGACGUGUAAGCAGCAAAUGCUUAUUCUGGUGAUGAUCAAGUGCUUCACAUGAUUUAUUCAGAGUUACCAAUUACUUGAUCCUGACCUUGUACAAUAGAGUCACUGAGGAAGGAAAGACUACUAAAGGCCAUGUAGCUCAAUCAUCAACCCAUUACAACCAUACUACUAAAUCACGUCACUCAAUGAAACAUCUGCCCUUUCUUAAACACCUCCAAGAACAAUGACUCCACCAUCUUUCUGGGCAGCCUGUUCCAAUACCUCAUGUUGUUCACAAACAUUCAGCUGACCCAAGGAGAACCUUCUUUGACAUCGUUCAUCCCUACCAGCAGCAAGGCUGUUGUGAAAAUCACCUCAGCUGAAACAGUUUACAAGUAGGAAAUUAGCUGGAAAUAAGGUCACCUGGGAAGAAACCCCCACCUCCAAGUUUCCUAAGAGACUUUAAAUCUAUGGCUGGAAGGGAGGUCUUAGUGGUAGGUGCAAACAGGAGAAGGUUCAGAAGAUAAUGUUUGUGUUUCUGUUGGCACUAUCAUGCCAAAUCGUUCCAAAAUGGUAUAGAUUGCGGAGGAUUGCUUUUACUUAGGCUGAACUUGGUGUUUCCUCUUUGUGUCCCCAGGAUGAUGGCUUAUGUUGAAGGUGAGUGAAGGGUGGAAUUUAUGGGGUUGUUUUCUCCUCCUUGUUAUUCAGUGGGAUGUAGUGCUUUGUAGGAGGGGUGUUUCUGAAGAGCUGAGAGGAAGGUAAGAGAUACAAAUGAUGUUCAUACAGGCAAAGCAGUCCCCUUCUCCAUCUCCCAACACUCAAUGCAAAUGGCUACCAACAAAAUCUGCCUUUUGUGGUGAGAGGGCUAGAGGAAGGCUAGUGAGAAUGAAAGUCAUGGGCUUCUUGAACGGGAAAGAAGACAAAGCCUUUUUUAAUGCUCGUGUUUGUGUUCUAAUCACAGCAAAAGAAAAGGCUAGAGGAAGUUUUAUCUUUUGGUCACAAAAGAAGUAUUGACCGAGCCUCAAAUAAACCCAGAAAAAAUCUCUUCUGGUAAGAGUUAGCAUAGCACAGAGCAGUGAAAAUUAAAGGAUUCACAGAGUUUCUCAUUUAUUCAGGAGCUAGUGUUCCCUGAGAGCCCAGAGCCUAUUUGAUUUAGCCUAACAAAGACAACUUGCUGUGGGUAUCUAUCAUCCAUCUGGGUAUGAGCCCAGUAUCUUUUCAGGAGAGUAAGCUCAGAGUACCAAGCAAUUAACAGAAAACCCUAAAUUACAGGUGAUCAGGGUUCAGCCCAGAGCUCCUACUGGUGGGUGUGUGAUCAGUCUUCCUAAAACCAAAUGUCUGUAGUUAAAAAGGAAAAAAAAAAAAAAAAAGCUGCUUUAGUCUAUUAAUGAUUUCAUAAAUACACGUGUCUGAGUAAUGAUUCCCUGUGUUAUGUCUUCCUCCCACUCGCAUUAAGCCAUCAUGCAUGGCUAAUCAAAAACUUCGCAUUAAGUCCUCCUGGUUUACCCAUUCUGUGCUGAGAAAUUGUGCUGGUGUUCAGCAAAUCACUGACCCUUACAAGUACAAAAUCAUUCAUUGUAUUUAUAUAAGUCAUCCUACAGGCCAGAUUUAUGGGGCAGACAAAGUAGGUGCACCUGUGCUGGUCCAGUGGUAAUUUCAUCAUGUUAUGUCCAGGGGGAGUCUGCUUAUGGGCAGCUUUGAAUGAAGUUUGGUGAGAAUGACACAGCUGGCCAGCAAGAAGGGGUGAGCAGGAACAAGGCUCCCUAUGAAACUGGCUUUUGUGGCUCUUCUAUUUCUAAUAACCGAUAUUAAAGAAAAAAAUAAUAUUCCUUUUUGAGCAAGAGGGGGGAAAAGAACACUCAUUGUCCGCAAUGAGGAUUAACAAGGCAGUUUACCUUAAUGGAAGGGAGGAAGCCUACUUAUGGAACAUACGGUGGAGAAGAUGACUGUUUUUUUUCUUGCAGUUGUUUGCCUUGCCUCCCUGUUGUUCUUUCUUUUUAUUAAUUUCUCUAAAACAGGCUUAGAAAGUGGUACAAAUCAUGUUAUUUGUUAAUAUGCCAACCUGCUGAGGGGAGAAGUUUAGUGGCCUGUGAAGAGAAUGAGCACAAAUCUUGUGAUUUGUUAAUCGCUUCUGCAUGUGUGAAUUUCAGUGACUGUUUUAAGUGUUUAUCUUCUUUCUUCUGCAAGGAUUUCUGUUUGUUACUUUUAAUUCCUCCCUGAGCCCAAACCUGGGAGGGGGGAUGGACAUAUAGGAGAUAACACUUGCAAGGAAUGAUUUAUGGCCUUCAACUUUCCACUUGGAAUCUGGAAAAACAUCUCAAGUUCUCCAUCAUGGUGAAGGAAAGAAAUAGUUUUGUUUAAGUAAGAAGCUUCACUUCUUGGCAUUACUAUGAGGAUGUGUCACUCCAUGGCAAGUUACAACAGCGCUGUCUGCAAGGGAAUAGAUCAGUCACAGAAUUAGCCCUGGCUUGUCACAAACUUCUGGUGAACCAGUAAAUGGCCAGUCUCAACACACUGUUUUGCAGCUAUUAUGCAAAUUUAUCAAUAAAUAGACAACUCAGCUUGCUUG